rnacentral:lncRNA from 1 species
AGCCCGAAAUCGCCCUGAAAUCGCCCCGGAGUCACCCCGAAAUAUCCCCAAAAUAUCCCAAAAAUACCCUAAAAUAUCCCAAAAUAUCCUAAAAUAGCCCAAAAUUAUCCCAAAAUACCCCAAAAUGCCCCUACCUGGACUUGGCCAACAUCGAGAACAGCGUGGCCAUCUGAGGGACCCCGAAAUCAGCCCAAAAUCACCCCGAAAUCAGCUGGAAAUCAUCCCAAAAUCAGCCCAAAAAUCACCCCAAAAUCACCCUGAAAUCGCCCUGAAAUCACCCCCAAAUCAUCCUGAAAUCAGCCCAAAAUCGGCCCGAAAUCACCCCAAAAAUCACCCUGAAAUCAGCCCAAAAUUAUCCCAAAAUGCCACUACCUGGACCCGGCCAACAUCGAGAACAGCGUGGCCAUCUGAGGGACCCCGAAAUCAGCCUGAAAUCACCCCGAAAUCAGCCCAAAAUCAGCCCGAAAUCAGCCCGAAAUCAUCCCGAAAUCACCCUGAAAUCAGCCCGAAAUCACCCCAAAAUCAUCCCAAAAUAGCCCCAAAAUCAGCCUGAAAUCAUCCCAAAAUCACCCCAAAAAUCACCCCGAAAUCACCCUAAAAAUCAGCCCGAAAUCAGCCCAAAAUUAUCCCGAAAUCACCCCAAAAUCAGCCCGAAAUCACUCCGAAAUCGCCCCAAAAUCACCCUGAAAUCGCCCCGGAAUCACCCUGAAAUCAGCCCAAAAUCAGCCCAAAAUCAGCCCGAAAUCAUCCCAAAAUCACCCCAAAAAUCACCCCGAAAUCACCCCAAAAAUCACCCUGAAAUCAGCCCA